rfam:Flavobacterium sp. FPG59 Contig_164, whole genome shotgun sequence.
CCCUAGCCCUGAUGGAAGCGUUAUCCUUUUACGAACGCCUUUUUUUGGCGGAGGAAAAGAUUCAAGCGUACAGCAGGAAAAAGC